CUGUUUUGCUGUUGGCCCAUUUGAAUUUCUGCAGGUAGUCUUGGGAAAAGUCAGGACAUCUGGAUCUUUGUCCCAGGUUUCCUCAGUGAGAUGCCCGCCCUGCACAGUCCCCUGAUAUCUAGAACCUUGUAUCUGGCCAAGAAGGGAUGCCUGCCGCCAGUUAUCAGCAUGUCCUCAUCACGGUCCAGCAUGCAGCGCACGGGGCGGCCAGUCCUGAGGGAGACACAGAGGUGAGGACACUGAAGCCAGGUAUGAUUUGAUCAAGGCCAUAGAGCACCAGACUGAAGGAAGCUAGCACUCACUUGGCUCUGACCAAGUGUCAACACUCAGCUCAUUACCACCACCUCACCAGGUACGAGCUUAUAGAUAGGACACGGGGGCUAAGAGGGUCUGACUCCAGGACUACAACCCUCAGAUCACCUCUGGAUAAGCCCAGAUCUCCCUCUUCCCAUUUCCCACACCACCAUUCCUGUCUUGCCAUGACCUUCCUCGUGCUCCACAGGACACUUGCCUGGGUCUUUGUGGGGUUCUGUGUAGACACAAAGAGUUCCAUCUCCCCUGACUCUCUUUUUGGGACGGCAAUGCUGCAGUGAGUCUCCAGGUAGAAGUGUUCUUGGCCACCGAUGUACAGCUCACCUGGGAAAGUGAUAUAGGUGGACAACCCUGGAUUUGAAGAAAAGCAAAGUCCUCCAGGAACCAAAUGGAACUGAAAAAAUGGGAGGCAAAAUUCAAUCUGGCUGUCAGAGGUCUGAAUCCAGGAUCACGAUGGGGGAGA